GACGAACUCUGGCGGCGUGCUUACACACGCAAGUCGAACGGUAAGGCUCCAGCUUGCUGGGGUACACGAGUGGCGAACGGGUGAGUAACACGUGGGUGACCUGCCCUGCACUUCGGGAUAAGCCUGGGAAACUGGGUCUAAUACCGGAUAGGACUGCACCGUGAGGGUGUGGUGGAAAGUUUUUUCGGUGUGGGAUGGGCCCGCGGCCUAUCAGCUUGUUGGUGGGGUAAUGGCCUACCAAGGCGGCGACGGGUAGCCGGCCUGAGAGGGUGGACGGCCACAUUGGGACUGAGACACGGCCCAGACUCCUACGGGAGGCAGCAGUGGGGAAUAUUGCACAAUGGGCGGAAGCCUGAUGCAGCGACGCCGCGUGGGGGAUGACGGCCUUCGGGUUGUAAACUCCUUUCACCAUCGAUGAAGGGUUUCUGACGGUAGAUGGAGAAGAAGCACCGGCUAACUACGUGCCAGCAGCCGCGGUAAUACGUAGGGUGCGAGCGUUGUCCGGAAUUACUGGGCGUAAAGAGCUCGUAGGUGGUUUGUCGCGUCGUCUGUGAAAUUCCGGGGCUUAACUCCGGGCGUGCAGGCGAUACGGGCAUAACUUGAGUACUGUAGGGGAGACUGGAAUUCCUGGUGUAGCGGUGAAAUGCGCAGAUAUCAGGAGGAACACCGGUGGCGAAGGCGGGUCUCUGGGCAGUAACUGACGCUGAGGAGCGAAAGCAUGGGGAGCGAACAGGAUUAGAUACCCUGGUAGUCCAUGCCGUAAACGGUGGGCGCUAGGUGUGGGUUUCCUUCCACGGGAUCCGUGCCGUAGCUAACGCAUUAAGCGCCCCGCCUGGGGAGUACGGCCGCAAGGCUAAAACUCAAAGGAAUUGACGGGGGCCCGCACAAGCGGCGGAGCAUGUGGAUUAAUUCGAUGCAACGCGAAGAACCUUACCUGGGCUUGACAUAUACAGGAUCGCGCCAGAGAUGGUGUUUCCCUUGUGGCUUGUAUACAGGUGGUGCAUGGUUGUCGUCAGCUCGUGUCGUGAGAUGUUGGGUUAAGUCCCGCAACGAGCGCAACCCUUGUCUUAUGUUGCCAGCACGUUGUGGUGGGGACUCGUAAGAAACUGCCGGGGUUAACUCGGGGGAAGGUGGGGAUGACGUCAAAUCAUCAUGCCCCUUAUGUCCAGGGCUUCACACAUGCUACAAUGGUCGGUACAGUGGGUUGCCAGUCCGUGAGGGCGAGCUAAUCCCGCAAAGCCGGUCUCAGUUCGGAUCGGGGUCUGCAACUCGACCCCGUGAAGUCGGAGUCGCUAGUAAUCGCAGAUCAGCAACGCUGCGGUGAAUACGUUCCCGGGCCU
rnacentral:rRNA from 1 species